AAUAUUGGACAAUGGGCGAAAGCCUGAUACAGCCAUGCCGCGAGUGUGAAGAAGGUCUUCUGAUUGUAAAGCACUUUAAGUUGGGAGGAAGGGUUGUCGUUUAAUACGCUGCAAUUUUGACGUUACCAACAGAAUAAGCAUCGACUAACUUCGUGCCAUCAGCCGCGGUAAUACGAAUGGUGCAAGCGUUAAGCGGAAUUACUGGGCGUAACGCGCGCGUAGGUAGUUCGUUGAGUUGGAAGUGAAAGCCCCGGGCUUAACCUGGGAAUUGGUUUAAAAACUGACGAGCUAGAGUACGGUAGAGGGUAGUGGAAUUUCCUGUGUAGCGGUGAAAUGCGUAGGUAUAGGAAGGAACAUCAGUGGCGAAGGCGACUACCUGGACUGAUACUGACACUGAGGUGCGAAAGCGUGGGGGGCAAACAGG
rnacentral:rRNA from 1 species